GCCUGGGUGGCUCAGUUGGUUAAGCGUCCGACUUCAGCUCAGGUCAUGAUCUCACGGUUUGUGGGUUCGAGUUCCGCGUCAGGCU
rnacentral:tRNA from 1 species